GACUGGAAGCUGGCUUUGGAGUGAUGGUACAGGCGUGUCCGGAACUUUCUGGUGUCCACAAAAACCAGACAACACACAAGCAGAGUGCUGUCUGAAGACCAACACUCAACCCGCCCAAUGCUGGGAUGACACCGCCUGUAACACACUACUGCCAUAUGUGUGUGCAAAGUCUCUUUAGACUGCAGAAGACUAUGGAUGGAUGGAUAUUUACCAACUGGAGAAUAUAACACAGACAUCCUUUCAUACAUGUAAUAAACAUAUUGAGCAUUGA